rnacentral:rRNA from 1 species
UACGUAGGGCGCAAGCGUUGUCCGGAAUUAUUGGGCGUAAAGAGCUCGUAGGUGGCUUGUCACGUCGGGUGUGAAAGCUUGGGGCUUAACUCCAGGUCUGCAUUCGAUACGGGCUGGCUAGAGGUAGGUAGGGGAGAACGGAAUUCCUGGUGUAGCGGUGAAAUGCGCAGAUAUCGGGAGGAACACCGGUGGCGAAGGCGGUUCUCUGGGCCUGUACUGACGCUGAGGAGCGAAAGCGUGGGGAGCGAACAGG